rnacentral:rRNA from 1 species
CAAGGUUUCCGUAGGUGAACCUGCGGAAGGAUCAUUAAAGAAUAAUUACCACACAUGUUUUUAUAUCAUAAACACCAAACCAUUAAUUACCUCAACUUUUGAAAAAUCAAAACUUUCAACAACGGAUCUCUUGGUUCUCGCAUCGAUGAAGAACGCAGCGAAAUGCGAUACGUAAUAUGAAUUGCAGAUUUUCGUGAAUCAUCGAAUCUUUGAACGCACAUUGCGCCCUGUGGUAUUCCGCAGGGCAUGCCUGUUUGAGCGUCAUUUCUCUCUCAAGCCGCUGGCUUGGUGUUGAGUUUGCUCGGCUUACUUGAAAUACAUGUAUGCAUUUGUCUAGGAUCUCCAUCUCAAACGCAUUACUCCAAGUUUGACCUCAAAUCAGGUAGGACUACCCGCUGAACUUAAGCAUAUCAA